CACGUAGGCACCAAGCGUUGUCCGGAUUUAUUGGGCGUAAAGAGCUCGUAGGCGGUUCGGUAAGUCGGGUGUGAAAACUUUGGGCUCAACCCAAAGCGUGCACUCGAUACUGCCAUGACUAGAGUUCGGUAGGGGAGUGGGGAAUUCCUAGUGUAGCGGUGAAAUGCGCAGAUAUUAGGAGGAACACCGGUGGCGAAGGCGCCACUCUGGGCCGAAACUGACGCUGAGGCGCGAAAGCGUGGGGAGCAAACAGG
rnacentral:rRNA from 1 species